ACUCAGCUGAUGAGUCAUAGAUAGGACGAGACGCGCGUCCUGGAU
rfam:Schistosoma curassoni strain Dakar, Senegal genome assembly, scaffold: SCTD_scaffold0001720